rnacentral:lncRNA from 1 species
GGAAACCGUACUAGGCUGUCCCCUAUGAGUGAAGCGUGAAGCUCUGCAGCAAGUGAGGUGGAAAUUGUGCCAGAGCUUCCCUGGAGGGUGCCGACGUUAGGGGGUUCACAGGCUCAGGGAAGUGGGCUGAGGCAGACAAGCAGCUGGAACACUGUGACCCCCAGCAUCUCCAUCAGCUAAGGCUGCUGUCACAGGCACCAUGGACUCGGUGGCCUCAACAACAAACAUUUAUUUCUCAUAGUUCUGGUGGCCAGCAGCUCUGGUGUCUGCUGUGGGUGCCUUCUCCCCGUGGCAGAAGGAGGGAGAGAGAAAGAACACUGGUCUCCUCCUCUUCUUGUAAGUGUGCUAAUCUCAUCCUGGGGGCCUUACGAUUACGGGCUCAUCUGAACCUAAUUACCUCCGAAAAGCUCCACCCCCAAAUAUCAUUUACACUGGGGAUUAGGGCUUCAAUCUGUGAAUCUGGGGAAGACGCAGACAUCCGGGCCAUUGCACGUGGGAAGCCCCAGGGGAAUGUACGGGUGGCAGGAGAAACAGUGGCUCCCCGUGCACGUGCAGGCUGGGCUGCCAGCAGCAGAGUCCAUCACCGAGGGAGGCUUUCUGACAGCUGUGGGGCAAAAGGACCCUGAACAAUACAGACUAGAUGGCUGCACUUCGCCUUCAGCAGCCUGGUGGAUGCAGUUAUCUUCAUCUGUGACAAGGCUGGAGUGGCCUUGAGGGAACCUGAUCCACAGAGGGUUAACAGAACAGUGUCGCUGGAUGCAAAACAGACAGGCAGUGAAAAGAGGCACUAUGCAGUGUAUGCAAUGAAAAUAAGGACGAUAAUGAAACAGGUCAUGGUCACCCCAGCACAACUCAGGGACUCGCCCAGUUUCCAGACUCACGCCAGUGAGGGGACGAUUUGAAGGAGUCGCCAGGUCCACAAGAGGAAGGAGCUUGACCCACGAUGGCGAAUGCCCAUGGCGCUGACUCCCCAGUCCUUCCUGACCCUCGAUGGUGAGUCCACAUGGCGCUGAUGCUCUUCAGUUCUUCCUGACCCACGAUGGUGGGUGCACAUGGCGCUGACUCCCCCAGUCCUUCCCUUAUGCAGGUGACUGCACCAGAGUAAAGGGGCAAUAUCCGG